UACGUAGGGUGCGAGCGUUGUCCGGAAUUAUUGGGCGUAAAGAGCUCGUAGGCGGUCUGUCGCGUCGAUCGUGAAAACUUGGGGCUUAACCCUGAGCUUGCGGUCGAUACGGGCAUGACUGGAGUUCGGCAGGGGAGACUGGAAUUCCUGGUGUAGCGGUGAAAUGCGCAGAUAUCAGGAGGAACACCGGUGGCGAAGGCGGGUCUCUGGGCCGAUACUGACGCUGAGGCACGAAGGUCAGGGGAGCAAACGGG
rnacentral:rRNA from 1 species